GACGAACGCUGGCGGCGUGCCUAACACAUGCCAGUCGAGCGAGGCCCCUCCUUCGGGGUGCUGCCCUAGCGGCGAACGGGUGGGUAACACGUGGGCAACCUGCCCUCAGCUCUGGGAUAACUCCAAUAAAUUGGUGCUAAUACCGGACGUGACCGCUGACCGCAUGGUCUGGUGGUGGAAAGAUUCAGCUGCUGAGGAUGGGCGCGCGGCCUAUCGGCUUGCUUGGGGGGUAAUGGCCCACCAAGGCGACGACGGGUAACCGGCCUGAGAGGGUGACAGGCCACACUGGGACUGAGGCACGGCACAGACUGCUACGCGAGGCAGCAGUGGGGAAUAUUGCGCAAUGGACGAAAGCAUGACGAAGCGACGCCGCGUGAGGGAUGACGGCCUUAGGGUUGUAAACCUAUUUCAGUAGGGACGAAGCGAAAGUGACGGUACCUAAAGAAGAAGCACCGGCCAACUACGUG
rnacentral:rRNA from 1 species